rnacentral:rRNA from 1 species
GACGAACGCUGGCGGCGUGCUUUACACAUGCAAGUCGAACGGUGAAGGUGGAGCUUGCUCCGCCGGAUCAGUGGCGAACGGGUGAGUAACACGUGGGCAACCUGCCCCUAACUUUGGGAUAACUACUCGAAAGAGUAGCUAAUACCAGAUAUGAAGUCUGUAGGCAUCUAAGGAUUUGGAAAGUUUUUCGGAUAGGGAUGGGCCCGCGGCCUAUCAGCUUGUUGGUGAGGUAGUGGCUCACCACGGCGACGACGGGUAGCCGGCCUGGGAGGGCGACCGGCCACACUGGGACUGAGACACGGCCCAGACUCCUACGGGAGGCAACAGUGGGGAAUAUUGCGCAAUGGGCGAAAGCCUGACGCAGCAACGCCGCGUGCGGGAUGAAGGCCUUCGGGUUGUAAACCGCUUUCAGCAGGGAAGAAGCGAAAGUGACGGUACCUGCAGAAGAAGCACCGGCUAACUACGUGCCAGCCGCCGCCGUAA